rnacentral:misc_RNA from 1 species
UUGAAUAAAAACUGGUUGGGUUGUUGCUGGCUCUUAGGAGCAUGUGCACACCUAAUCCAUUUUUUAACCACCUGUGCACCUUGUGUAGAUUUGAACAGUUUUCAAGACUAAAAGUCCUUGGUAUAAGAAUUGCUGGUGCAACUAGCCUCCAGCUCUUCUUGGGUUCAAGUCUAUGUCUUUAUUAUUAUUAAAAUCCAGUAUUAGAAUGUAAUUAAUAGGCCAUUGUGCCUUUAAUCACAAUA